GAAGGUGGCCGUGAUAAAAAUGGGGGCCAUGGUGACAGGCAGAGAGUGAGCAGGGAAAAGACAGGGAAGACGCUGGAGAGCCAAGACAAUAGCUGAGGAGUGGGGCAAGACAUGGGAGAGGGCAGCAAACUUGGAGAGAGAGACAGAGAAACAGAGACAGAGAGAGGUUGAGAAAAAGGGGAGAGGAAGGAGGAGAGAAGAGAGCAAGGGUGUGGGCAGAGUCAGCAGCAGGUAGCACCUGGUCUAAGAGGUGGGCAGACAUCAUUGGAAAGAACAUGACCCAGGUACACCAGGAAAGAUGGACACAAAGAGACGAGUCACAGAGAGGAGGACAAUCAGAGAAGAAAUGAGACGAGGGUGACAGACAAGAGCAAAAUAGUGAGCAGAGAGCAGAGACCCUGGGAGAACAAAAUGUGUGUGUGUGUGUGUGUGUGUGUGUGUGUGUCCCAACAAGACCCACCUUUCAGCCUGAUGGCAGACCCCUAGAUGAACCAAGAAUCAGGUGAACCCGAGACUCUUCUCUGAGUCACUUUGCGGAAACUCAAGAGGUUUUGGAAAGCCAGCUGUGUUGGAUGGCGUUUUGCUGGGACAAGCACGUGAAGACACGUUUCACUGAGGCAGACACAGGUGAGAGGAUGUUCUGCUAAAGCAAG
rnacentral:lncRNA from 1 species